rnacentral:rRNA from 1 species
ACCCUCGGGUGACAGGGAGACAGGUGGUGCAUGGUUGUCGGUCAGGCUCGUGUCGUGAGAUGUUGGGUUAAGUCCCGCAACGAGCGCAACCCUACGUUAGUUGCUAACGCGUGAAGGCGAGCACUCUAGACGAACUGCCGUUGACAAAACGGAGGAAGGUGGGGAUGACGUCAAAUCAUCAUGCCCCUUAUGUUCUGGGCUACACACGUGCUACAAUGGCCGGUACAGACGGACGCAAAGCCGCGAGGUGGAGCAAAUCCUAAAAAGCCGGUCUCAGUUCGGAUUGCAGGCUGCAAUUCGCCUGCAUGAAGUCGGAAUCGCUAGUAAUCGCAGGUCAGCAUACUGCGGUGAAUACGUUCCCGGGCCUU